CUGCGAUCUGUGCUGGGAAAGAUGGGGAAGACGCCUGAGAGGGAAACUUGACUGCGCCUGGACAGAGAAAUGGGUAGACUGGAAUCUGUGCCUGCAGCGGGCACCUGGCAGGGGCCGGUGUGAGCAGAAGUGUGGGUGUUGGAAUGAUGGUGCCGACCCCAGGGUGGACAGGGGGCUGCGAGAUGGACCAGGGAGCCCUGGGUCAGGCCACGAUCCACGCCUGGCCUCUCCCUCCCUUCAGCUCCCCAAGUUCCUCACCACGGCCACUGGGCCCAGGGACCCUGGGAACCAGCCGUGUGGGGCACCCAGCAGGACCCUUGUGCCACUGGGUGGCUGCUGGCAGGUCCCGGGCCGUCUGUUCUGGAACAGUGGAGGAUCUGGGAUCAGCACCUUCCUGUGUGGCUGUGAGCCCUUCGCCCAGGGUGACCACUAGAGCCCAGGACUCAGAGGGUCCAGCCCAGACUCCACAGUUCCCUUACUUUCAGGAGUGGAGGGAGGCCCAGGAGUAUGUCUGAGCCAGGCCAGGCAGGGUCCCAGCCCCUCCCAGUGGUUCCCGGCAGUCCCAGGCUGCCUUCUCCAGGCGGGGACGGGGCGGGGCCGGGGGAUGCCAUAGUGACAAGCUCACCUGCUGCUUCAGUCUCCAAACAAGUGCUUCUGGGUUUCAUUUUCAGCUCUGGCUGGGGAUGGACCCUGACCUUCAAACAGGCCAGACGGUGGCAGCCACAGGCUGAGUGUGGGCACCUGGGGCCUGAGCGCCCUCGGCAGCAGGAGUGCAGGUCUCCCCAUGAGGUGUCUCCCCCAUUCACCCUGGGAAGCCCAGACAGUGGCCCGAGGUCAUGUGGCAGGUAGGGUGCAGGGCAGGAGCUGCUUGGGGGGCCUGGGCCUCCCCCAGCUCCCUUCCUCAGAGCAACCCAGACCCCUGACCCAAUUAGGCCCAGGCCCAGCCAGCAGUUGGGGUCAUUCCAGGUGCUUCUGAAGAGGAGGGUAUGGCUGAAGCCUCCUCUGGGGACAGCAGCCCCUCUGUCCUGGGAGGUGGCCUGUAGGAAGCUGAGCAUGAGCAGGCAGAAGUGGACGUCCUAGUUCUUUCCAAACCCCCUCACUGGGCCAGGCCCAAAAGGACACCCCAUGGCGGGCCCUGCUGGGCUCACGGGGGACUCAGGGUUGGACCCCAGUAGGCCUCUGCCAGGGUGUGGUGGGCACUGUCUCUGUGGAAGUUAGGAAGGGCUGUUGAGGGAAGGUGGCAUGGCGGGCUGGGUCUUGAGCGGUGGGGAGGAGUUGGGCCCAUCCACUUGUAGCGGGGCACAGGGCUCUGGCUGACCACCAGCAGGGCAGGUGGAGGGAAGGGGCCGGCGCCCACAGCCCUCUUUUCCCACUGGUGUCCUCCUGCUGUGAAGCCAGGCCUGUAGGAGCCUGCAAGCCUUGGGGGGCACAGGGGACAGGCCUGGCACACAGAGGGCUCCUUGGGCACUCAUCCCGUAGUAGGGAGACAGGCCCUGGGAGGGGAGGGAGCCGGGAGGCAGCCAUGCGCCCUCCCUAAGAUGGAAAACGCAGGGGCCUGGUGAGGGCGGUGCUGACCACAGUGCUCUGCACACCAGGCUAUUGCUGGCGCCCCGGCUCCAGGGAACACAGAGUCCUUGGGGACACAGGGCCCGGGGGCCUCCAGAGCUGGGAUACGGUGGAGGGGCUGCUGGAUCCCAAACACCCUUUAGGCCUCCUUCAUCCCCAGUCAGCAUUCCAGCCAGGACCCCGGGGGCCCCAUCCAGAGUCCUGUCAGCGGGGGCCAUAGCCUGUGGCUGCAGGCCUGGGCAGGUGGGUGACACGAGGCAGGACCGACCCCACGGUUCUAACGCCUGCUCCCCACUGGCCUUGGACAAAUCGCUGCCCUUUUCUGAGCUUGAUUCCUCACCUGUGAAGUGGGCAUCAAGGUAAUGCCUGAGGCCGGGUGUGGUGACUCAUGCCUGUAAUCCCAGCACUUUGGGAGGCCGAGGUGGGCAGAUCAGCUGAAGUCAGGAGUUCAAGACCAGCCUGGCCAACAUGGCAAAACCCCGUCUCUCCUAAAAAUGCACUGGGCAUGGUGGUGCGCGCCUGUAAUCCCAGCUACUCGCAUGCUGAGGUGGGAGAAUCGCUUGAACCCUAGAGGCGGAGGCUGCAGUGAGCCGAGAUCACUGAGCUAGCGCCACUGCACUUCAGCCUGGGUGAAAGAGCAAGACUUCAUCUCAGAAAAUAAAAACAAGGCUGGGUGCGGUGGCUCACACCUGUAAUCCCAGCACUUUGGGAGACCGAGGCAGGUGGAUCACCUGAGGUCAGGAGUUUGAGACCAGCCUGGCCAACAUAGUGAAACCCCGUCUCUACUAAAAAUACAAAAAUCAGCUGGGUGUGGUGGUGCAUGCCUGUAAUCCCAGCUACUUGGGAGGCUGAGGCAGGAGAAUCCUUUGAAACCCGGGAGGCAGAGGUUGCGAUGAGCCAAGAUCACGCCACUGCACUCCAGCCUCAGCGACAGAGUGAGACUCCGUCUCAAAAAAAUAAAAAACAAAAAACUGCCUGAGACUUGGGGGCAGUGAACAACCUGUGUGAUACACAGUAGGUGCUGAGGGCCAGGUAUCUGCGCUGUUCUCUUUCUCCUCUGAACAGAGAGGUGCCAUGAUCUGGCCAAGGACACACAGCAAUCAGAGGCAGGCUGGCUUCUCUGCCCCGGUCCCGCCAUCCAGCGACACCUGUCAGCCCCCUUGCAAGCUCUGUGCUCCUCGAAGGUCGGGGUGGGGGAGGGCGGGGUGGGUCUGGGCCCCGUUACAAGGGAUUCCUAUAAAUGGCGUGGAGAGGAUUAAUAAUGUAUUUAUAACACAUUUUGGUGGUAGUCGAAAAUGAUCUAUAAAUGUGCAGUAAAUGUUUUAUAAUGUUUUUGUAACCCGUUAUAAAUGAUAAAUGGCAGACCAUAGAUGCCGGAUCAAAUAUUUAUAACGCACUGUGCGCGGCGUUGGGCUGCUACAGUUCAGCAAAGCCAUUAAUAAUAAAGUGGAUGGAAAUGCA
rnacentral:lncRNA from 1 species